GUCAGCAGCCGCGGGAACACCGGCGGCCCGAGUGGUGAUCGUGAUUAUUGGGUCUAAAGGGUCCGUAGCCGGUUUGGUCAGUCCUCCGGGAAAUCUGAUAGCUCAACUAUUAGGCUUUCGGGGGAUACUGCCAGACUUGGAACCGGGAGAGGUAAGAGGUACUACAGGGGUAGGAGUGAAAUCUUGUAAUCCCUGUGGGACCACCUGUGGCGAAGGCGUCUUACCAGAACGGGUUCGACGGUGAGGGACGAAAGCUGGGGGGCACGAACCGGAUUAGAUACCCGGGUAGUCCCAGCCGUAAACGAUGCUCGCUAGGUGUCAGGCAUGGCGCGACCGUGUCUGGUGCCGCAGGGAAGCCGUGAAGCGAGCCACCUGGGAAGUACGGCCGCAAGGCUGAAACUUAAAGGAAUUGGCGGGGGAGCACAACAACGGGUGGAGCCCUGCGGUUUAAUUGGACUCAACGCCGGACAACUCACCGGGGGCGACAGCAAUAUGUAGGCCAAGCUGAAGACUUUGCCUGAAUCGCUGAGGAGUGGUGCAUGG
rnacentral:rRNA from 1 species